AUCCAUAACAGACUCCGAGCUUGUUUUCCUAAGUCAAAAUCAAAACGAUAUGGAAACAAUGCCAGAAUUAUAUAACAAAUAAUUCCAUGGUUCGCUGAGAAAUUAUCGGGCCACUCGUAUUUAGAAAGGUGUCAAAUGCAAAUUCCA
rnacentral:ncRNA from 2 species